rnacentral:rRNA from 1 species
CAGUCGCCGCGGUAAUACGAAGGGUGCAAGCGCUAAUCGGAAUUACUGGGCGUAAAGCGUGCGUAGGCGGUUUGUUAAGUCUGCUGUGAAAUCCCCGGGCUCAACCUGGGAAUGGCAGUGGAUACUGGCUCGCUAGAGUGUGUCAGAGGAUGGUGGAAUUCCCGGUGUAGCGGUGAAAUGCGUAGAGAUCGGGAGGAACAUCAGUGGCGAAGGCGGCCAUCUGGGACAACACUGACGCUGAGGCACGAAAGCGUGGGGAGCAAACAGGAUUAGAUACCCGCGUAGUCCCUGUCUCUUAUAC